AAACUCUUAAGGGGGCUUGUUGCGAGCUUCGUGCUUCCUUUUCACUCGCUCUAGGCUCCCCUGGCAGUUCCUCCUGCCUGCCAGCAGUUUGAGAACCUCAAGAAUGCUGUAUCUUCCAAUCUGGUCACCUUUUCUGAAUAAGGAUCACUGGAAUUCUACAUCCAACACCAACAGAAUUGGCAGUAAUUGAUGAUUUCCAUUUAGCUGACAGACAUCAUCUAAGGGUUACCUGCGGACUGGAAACUGCUGAGCUCUGGACAUGUUGAAAACUGAUGAGAACCACCGCAGCCAAGGCUUUCCUGUGCUGUCUUUGGUGUGAGGGGGGAAUGUUUAUUAAAUAUGAUGAAAAGCGAUAUCUUGAAACAAGGAUAUUUUGGUACUGCACAACG